UGGGGAAUAUUGCACAAUGGAGGGAACUCUGAUGCAGCGACGCCGCGUGAACGAAGAAGGCUUUCGAGUCGUAAAGUUCUUUUAUAUGGGAAGAUAAUGACGGUACCAUAAGAAAAAGCCCCGGCUAACUACGUGCCAGCAGCCGCGGUAAUACGUAGGGGGCUAGCGUUGUCCGGAAUCACUGGGCGUAAAGGGUUCGCAGGCGGAAAUGCAAGUCAGGUGUAAAAGGCAGUAGCUUAACUACUGUAAGCAUUUGAAACUGCAUAUCUUGAGAAGAGUAGAGGUAAGUGGAAUUUUUAGUGUAGCGGUGAAAUGCGUAGAUACUAAAAAGAAUACCGGUGGCGAAGGCGACUUACUGGGCUCAUUCUGACGCUGAGGAACGAAAGCGUGGGUAGCAAACAGG
rnacentral:rRNA from 1 species